UACGGAAGGCAGCAGUGGGGAAUAUUGCACAAUGGGCGCAAGCCUGAUGCAGCCAUGCCGCGUGUAUGAAAAAGGCCUUCGGGUUGUAAAGUACUUUCAGUCGUGAGGAAGGUGUUAAGGUUAAUAACCUUAGCAAUUGACGUUAGCGACAGAAGAAGCACCGGCUAACUCCGUGCCAGCAGCCGCGGUAAUACGGAGGGUGCGAGCGUUAAUCGGAAUUACUGGGCGUAAAGGGCACGCAGGCGGUUAAUUAAGUUGGAUGUGAAAUCCCCGGGCUUAACCUGGGAAUGGCAUUCAAGACUGGUUAGCUAGAGUCUUGUAGAGGGGGUAGAAUUCCAUGUGUAGCGGUGAAAUGCGUAGAGAUGUGGAAGAAUACCGGUGGCGAAGGCGGCCCCUGGACAAAGACUGACGCUCAUGUGCGAAAGCGUGGGGAGCAAACAGGGAUUAGAUACC
rnacentral:rRNA from 1 species